rnacentral:rRNA from 1 species
UUUGAAGUAAAAAAAGCGUAACAAGGUCUCCGUUGGUGAACCAGCGGAGGGAUCAUUACCGAGUUUACAACUCCCAAACCCAAUGUGAACGUUACCAAACUGUUGCCUCGGCGGGGUCACGCCCCGGGUGCGUCGCAGCCCCGGAACCAGGCGCCCGCCGGAGGAACCAACCAAACUCUUUCUGUAGUCCCCUCGCGGACGUAUUUCUUACAGCUCUGAGCAAAAAUUCAAAAUGAAUCAAAACUUUCAACAACGGAUCUCUUGGUUCUGGCAUCGAUGAAGAACGCAGCGAAAUGCGAUAAGUAAUGUGAAUUGCAGAAUUCAGUGAAUCAUCGAAUCUUUGAACGCACAUUGCGCCCGCCAGUAUUCUGGCGGGCAUGCCUGUCCGAGCGUCAUUUCAACCCUCGAACCCCUCCGGGGGAUCGGCGUUGGGGAUCGGGACCCCUCACACGGGUGCCGGCCCCUAAAUACAGUGGCGGUCUCGCCGCAGCCUCUCCUGCGCAGUAGUUUGCACAACUCGCACCGGGAGCGCGGCGCGUCCACGUCCGUAAAACACCCAACUUUCUGAAAUGUUGACCUCGGAUCAGGUAGGAAUACCCGCUGAACUUAAGCAUAUCA